CCAAUCACCGCAGGGUCACGUCUAAUCUAUAAAUCCACGCUGAACAGCGCUCGUUUCGACCAGUUGCCCACCUCCUCAAGCCAGGCCUCCUCCAGCCAGGCGCGCUGCGCAAGGUACUCGGGGGCGGUUCGCUCUGAUGCGGGGCAGCAAUCAAUUGCUCAUUCUUACCCGGACGACAGCGGCCUGCAGCCCUCAGAGACGCUAAUUCAACCACCAGUCAGCCUGUUUGGAUCCCGGCUGGACGUUUGUAAAGAUUCACAGCGACCACGAGCCAAGUCCGCUGUGUUUGAGGACCGCCCGAGGCUGCCUCGCCUCGUCCAGGAACCGCCGGGCCGCGGGGCUGAUGGCUCAUUGUGCCGCUCCCCGGUCAGCCGCAGAUUACGGGGGGAGGGGGUCUCAUGCUCCAUGAUUUGAUUGUGCUGUUCCAGUCCUGAGGAGCCUGACCAGAGAGCGUCUGCGGGCCCGCCAGAUGAUGAGGACGUCCCAGAUGAUGAGGACCUCUGAGAAGAACGCCAUCCAGCCCAUCCUGCUGGGGAAUAAACUCACGGCAACGAAGGUAGUCGCCCCGCUGGGGUGCUGGAUCUCAAAUGACCUGCCUGGACUUCUAUUUAAACCUGCUGUGGGUCCGCCGUGGGCCUGUAUACCACUGUAGUACUGCAGGGGACGGCCCUAUGUCCGUUCCUCUUCCCCCUGUAAACCUUGGCCUCUGUCCACCAUACACUAUCCGCUUGGACAACAAGCUUGACUGGACAGUGUUCUCCAUGUCAGUCUACAUGUAGGGGCAGACUCUACCUCCUGAGGAAGUGAGCUGCCGACAUUAGAAGACCGAUGGGAGCAUGGUGCGGAUGCUCUGUGAGUCUCUUCUAGGCUUGGGUGAAUCUGGAACAGCAGCAUGACUAAACAGCUUGUUAAGUCCAACACUCUCCUGACAAUGAUCAGGAUGGCCGGCGUGUUCUGGGGUAGAACUGGACCCCCUGUAGCCGUCAGAGAAAAGAGACUGUGCAAAACACCUCUCUACCCUUGAUAAUGACUCCGGACUGCAGUCUGAACAGAGAAGUCUGUUCAGCAGUUGACGCCUGGCAUUGAGGAGGUCCACCGGGUGGUUCGGGAAAACCUUAAUUCCUGUGGACAGAGAAGUCUUUAACUCCUCUCACCACCGCCAGGUCACUCUAUACUGCACUGUCGUGGAAUUCAGUCAAUUUGAACAUUUUAGGAUUUAUCGUAUCAAGAUGAUCUGUGCUACAUACCUGUGACAAUUUAUUUAAUUUCAGUUACAUAGCUACUUCAUUUUAUGUACAAACAUUCAGCUGUUAUAAAUGUCAUCAUAUUUGAUCCAUAAUUAGAAUAUGUAUAUUUAUGGAGUGUUUUGUGUUUGUAUUUAUUUUUGAUGUUUGUUCUAUUUGCAUUGAAGUUUCUGGCUUGUGAUUAGAGACUGUAACAAAAUAAAUUCUUCCGGGAUCAAUAAAGUAAUCUGUGCCUAUAUCUGUUAACAA
ensembl:lncRNA